UGGUCCAUCGGUUCCAUCACAUGACCGGAAGGGGGAGGAGCUUGGCAUGCAAAUGAGACGAAGGUAUGACAAGGCAGUGGGCGGAGCAUCCCGGUGGGCGGGGCUUGGCGUUACCAUGGUGACAGCGGGGUGGGCGGAGCCAAGCCCUAUGGCGACUGCAUCCCUGUGGGCGGGGCAAACGGUUACCAUGGCAACACUAAGAUGGGCAGAGCCAAUCCUAUGGCAACAGCGUCCCUGUGGGUGGAGCUAAGGGUCACCAUAGCAACACAUGGGGGUGGAGCCAAUCCUUUGGCUACAGCAUCCCUGUGGGCGGGGCUAAGGGUCACCAUGACAACACUAAGAUGGGCGGAGCCAAGCCGUACGGUGACAGUAUCCCUGUGGGCGGGGCUAAGAGUCACCAUGGCAACACAUGGGGGCGGAGCCAAGCCCUAUUGGCGACAAUAUCAGUGUGGGCGGGGCUAACGGUCACCAUGGCAACACAAGGGGGCGGAGCCAAGCCCUAUCGGUGACAGUAGCUCUGGGGGCGGGGCUAAUGGUCACCAUGGCAACACUAAGAUGGGCAGAGCCAAUCCUAUGGCAACAGCAUCCCUGUGGGUGGGGCUGAGUGUUACCAUGGCAACAUUAAAUGGGCGGAGCCAAUCCUAUUGGUGACAGAAUCCCUGUGGGCGGGGCUAAGGGUCACCAUGGCAGCACUAAGAUGGGCGGAGCCAAUCCCGACGGUGACAUUAUCCCUGUGGGCGGGGCUAAGCGUCACCAUGGCAACACUAAGAUGGGCGGAGCCAAUCCCUAUGGCAACAGCACCCCUGUGGGCGGGGCUAAGGGUUACCAUGGCAACAUUAAAGGGGCGGAGCCAAGCCCUAUUGGCGACAGUAUCUCUAUGGGCGGGGCUAAGGGUCACCAUGGCAGCACUAAGAUGGGCGGAGCCAAUCCCUAUGGUGACAUUAUCCCUGUGGGCGGGGCUAAGGUUCACCAUGGCAACACUAAGAUGGGCGGAGCCAAUGCUAUGGCAACAGUCUCCCUGUGGGCGGGGCUAAGGUUCACCAUGGCAACACUAAGAUGGGCGGAGCCAAUGCUAUGGCAACAGUCUCCCUGUGGGCGGGGCUAAGGUUCACCAUGGCAACACUAAGAUGGGCGGAGCCAAUCCCUAUGGCAACAGCACCCCUGUGGGCGGGGCUAAGGGUCACCAUGACAACACAAGGGGGCGGAGCCAAGCCCUAUUGGCGACAGUAUCUCUAUGGGCGGGGCUAAGGGUCACCAUGGCAGCACUAAGAUGGGCGAAGCCAAUCCUACGGUGACAUUAUCCC
rnacentral:lncRNA from 1 species